GCCCGGGCCGGGCCGCGCCGCGCCACAGGGGCGGCGGCGGCGGCGGGGGGCGAGGGGCGGCCCCGCGCCCGGCCCGGCCCGGCCUCCCUCGCCUCGCCUGCGGGCGGAGGAGCAGUUUCACCUGACGGCAGCCGGGCCGAGCCGAGCCGAGCCAGGCCGGACCGCCAGCGCCACCUGCUGCCUCCGCGCCCGCACCCCGGCCCGGCUCCCGCCUCCCGCCUCCCCCUCCUCCCCCUCAGCGCCGGGGGCCGGGGGCCGCGCCGCGGCCUGCAGCCGGGCCGGAGGCCGCCCCAGGCGAGGGCGCGGGGGCGCCGUCCUCCUGACGAGAAAAACAAACGUGUCCUCUUUCUGGACAAAAACCCGGGCACGUCAAGGUGUCGCGGCCGCCCCAGACCCAGCGCCUUCGUGUCCGCCGCUUCCUCGCCCAGAAAGAGACACGCUUUUGUCCCCGAGAGAAAGACGCGGGGGUUUCGUGUCCGCGCGGGGCAGAGUGGCAGGACAUGAGGCCGUGGCGGGGGCCGGCAGUGUUUUUGGGACGGCGUGCCACGCCGUGACCCUGACUUGUACGACGUCGGGGCCCGCCGGGGCACGUGCGCCGAGCAAAAUGCCUUCACGCGCCGCGCCGUGGCACCCGUGCCCCCACUCCGUACACGAGCCCCAUGGCGAGCGUGGAAGAAAUCCCCCUUCGCCUGUGAUUUAGCUGUGGGGAAAUACUUGGGGUCGGUCUACGCGGGAUCUCGUGCCGCUUUAACUAGAUCCGUUUGGAAACCAGGACGGCUGAAGGGGUGCGACCCCUCGAAACGGAAGCGGUUACUUGGGGUUGGUAGGUGCGUGCGCCGUACCAGCACCGCAGCCAGUUCCUAGACGGUAAAACGUGAGCUGAGGUAGCGGGUUCAAUAAAGUCGCCAUUCGCUCGUCCUACGGCAAGCCGCGGCCCAAGUAAAUGUAGUCGCUGAGGUGCCCGCAGGUGUGCUUGGCGCCGGCAGAGCGUUAUAGGCAUGUCCUGAGCACCACGGCCUGUCUGCUGCCAUUUCAUCUUCGUUAAGGAAAUGGCAUCUAAUGUCCACCGAUGGGAAAUCAAUGAUGGAUGAACGUGGCAAAUGGAGGCUACUGUCUGGAAGAGCAACGUCGUUUUUUAAAGGACUGGACACGGGAAGGUUGCAACCUUCAGGUGUUUGAGCCCAGCGGAAAUCCGAUUUGGAAAUUGUUUUGUCUGAGUUUUUUUUCUGUUCUUGGGGCCAGCCAUAUUGAUGUAAGGCCAGCUGGACCGUUACGUCAGGGAUGGAUUUCGAUGCCUCGGGUUUACAGCCCUGCCACCUUCUCAGCAGACUCGAACAGUUUUUGCCUGUAAACACAGCAAAACAGAAGGCGCCUGACCAGAGCCCGGGGACAAGGGAGUCAAGUACAGCCAAGUACGUAGGCAGUAAUGUCAGGUGACGUCUCGUUAAGGACCGGACAGAAAAAUGGAGAUAUUUGCAUCUAACUUCUGUCACCUGCGUUGCAAGUUUAAAUCCAGCCGUGUGGCCCCUUGAAAUGCGUGCUGGUUGUGAGCAGAUGUCUUCACAAGGAGUGCCGCGACCGACACAUCUGUUGGACGUCUGAUCAGAGGGCACGUACUGACUGCGCCCCGGAGACACUGCUUCUUCCACCUCUCUACGGGGAGAAGACUGGAGGGGUCCCCUCAAACUUAGCAUUUUUUUUUUUCUGGGCAAUAAAUGAAGGACUUUAGAUGGGCACCUUUCUAAGUGUUAAAGGUGACGCCUAGUAAGAAAAGCAGCGACGAGAGCGCUGAACUACAGUUAAAUCAUUCUUUCCUGCACAAGAGGCUCCUGUCCACAGCUGCCUCCUUAAGACCUCUACAGCACGCAGGGCACAUCGAACCCAAAAACUCUCCUCCCAGACUCUUUUGGAAGCUGACUGAAACAAAUCGGUAGAGGGAGCUCUUUUGGCAGCAAGAAAAGUUUAUUGACUUCCUAUGCAAAGUGAAGCCUGGAGCAGGAAACACAGCGCAACACAAGGGAAUCCACGCAGCAUGGAUCACAUAAACCACAUUCUCGAAGUGGCUGAUUUCAGACAUGCUGAGCCUCCUUUUCUGAGAUGCCGAAUGUCUCAGCCCUUCCGGGGAACUACGAAGAAGCUGGCAAGAGCUAUGGACCUCUCGUGUAAUGAUUUUAACCCAAAUUCAUGAUCUGGCGCUGCUGAGUGGAUUUCAGGACGAAGAGCCCGCCACUGAAUACCUUGUCACCAGGCAGAGGUUCAACUCUAUGGGAUGCCACAAAAGCAUCGUACAAAACAGACGGAAAAUGCCUGACGAGUCUAGAGACAAACUGAAGCAGCAAAUUAAAUCCUGAGUUGAACUUCUUCAGACUUCGUAGGUGUCUAAAUCUCUGUUAGUUUGGCCGUGCCCAACUGCAAUUAGGUUACUUCUGAUCUGCCUCCAGCUCUGAUGCAGACCUGUUUUAACGGGUAUAUUUGUUGUUGUAUAAUUCUAACACGUGACCUCACUUCCUGUUCUUUUCUGCAUGACGCUGCACUUGGAAGGCCAGCUCCUGAACCUGCCGCACCGCAGCGCAGAACUAAAGGAUAUCAUCCUUAGAAAAACAAAAGGAUUAUUGCAAAUGAGGCACGUAAUCAGAUACAAUUAUAUAUUUUGAUUCUUAAAUUGAAGGAAACAGCUACAGGUAACUUUUCCAUGUCACAUAUUUCUGUCAGGUAAAGUACAUAUACCAGAGGGGAAAAAACAUUUCUCUCUCUCAGCUUUGGAAGUAUUAUUAUUGCAUAACGCCAAAGUACACAGUGCACUAUGUACUUUAUAUCCCCCACCCAUAUGCAUAUUUUUGAUGUCUUACGUCUACUGCAACAGAAAUAUUUCCCAGAAUCCUCUGUGCUUAACAAAACAUUGUAUGUUGCACCAAUGAAAACUGAUGAGGUUUCCUCAGUAAAAAUCCUGACAUUUCA